rnacentral:rRNA from 1 species
ACUCCUACGGGAGGCAGCAGUAGGGAAUUUUCCGCAAUGGACGAAAGUCUGACGGAGCAAUGCCGCGUGAGUGAUGAAGGUUUUCGAAUCGUAAAGCUCUGUUGUAAGGGAAGAAUAGCAAGAAUAGGAAAUGAUUCUUGUCUGACGGUACCUUACCAGAAAGCCACGGCUAACUACGUGCCAGCAGCCGCGGUAAUACGUAGGUGGCAAGCGUUAUCCGGAAAUUAUUGGGCGUAAAGCGCAUGUAGGCGGCUUUUAAGUCUGAUGUGAAAAGCCAGUGGCUCAACCACUGAAUUGCAUUGGAUACUGGAAAGCUAGAAUCUUGGA